AUACUUACCUGGCAGGGGAGACAACAUGGUCACUAAGGUGGUUUUCCCAGGGCAAGGCUUAUCCAUUGCACUCUGGAUGUGCUGACCCCUGUAAUUUCCCCAAAUGUGGGAAACUCAGCUGCAUAAUUUGUGGUAGUGGGGGACUGCAUUCGUGCUUUCCCCUA
rnacentral:snRNA from 1 species